CGGCUUAUUGGGCCAGCAAAAUUUCUGACACUCCUCCUGUGUGCUCCGUGCAUAGGGGAGAAAGUUUGAGGGAAUCAUUGAUACGGGCGCUGAUGUUUCUAUUAUCGCCUUACAUCAAUGGCCCCAACAUUGGCCAGAGGAGCAUGCGUCCACAGCAUUAGUUGGUGUUGGUCAGGCUUCAGAAGUAUAUGAAAGUUCCACAAUUUUACAUUGCACGAGCCCUGAAGGACCCUGCCACCACAGGAUCAGCGGCAGUAGAUCUCUGUUGUACCAGAGAUACUUCUAUUGGAAAUAUUGGAACUAUUGGAACUAUUUGCCACCUCAUUACAAGCAUUCCUGUUAACCUAUGGGGAAGAGAUCUUUUAUAUCAGUGGGGGGCACAGAUUUCUUUUCCUGAAGACAAUUACAGCCAACAGAGUAAAGACAUUAUGACCAAAAUGGGAUUUGUUCAAGUUAUGGGCUUAGGAAAAUUAGCACAAGGCAUCACCGAGCCUAUUAUAUCUACUCAUGAAUCAGACUACAGGACUGGAUUAUUCUUUUUAGAAGCGGUCACUAUCAAGCCUCCAGAUCCCAUCCCUUUGACCCGGAAAACUCAGAAACUGGUCUGGGUAGAUCAGUGCCCUCUCCCAAAAAAUAAGGGGGAGGCACUUCAUAUUUUGGUUCUUGAAUAGUUAGAAUUGUGACACAUCGAACCCUCUUUUUCUCCCUAGAAUUCACCUGUCUUUGUUAUCCAAAAGAAAUCUGGACUUUGAAAAAUUUGCUUUCACUGUUCCAGCCCUUAACAUCAUCACUCCUGCAGCACGUUACCAUUGGAAAAUCCUACCUCAGGGUAUGCUUAAUAGCCCUGCUAUUUGUCAAUAUUAUGUGGGAUGCAUAUUAAAACCAGUAAGAGAUUAAUUUCCCCAAUGUUAUGUUAUUCAUUACACAGACAAUAUUCUUUGUGCAGCACCUUCACGCUCUGUAUUAAUAUCUUGUUUUUCUGCUUUACAACAAGCAGUUACAGCAGCUGGCUUGGUUAUCGCUCCAAAAAAAUUCAGAGUUCUUCCCCUUAUCACUAUUUAGGAAUGCAGCUAGAGGACAAGGUCAUUAAGCCUCAAAAAGUUCAACUCAGAUGAGACUCGUUAAAAACUCUAAAUGAUUUCCAAAAAUUCCUAGGAGACAUUAAUUGGAUUCCUCCCUCCUUAGGCAUUCCUACUUAUGCUAUGUCUAAUCUUUUGCAAUGUUGUGGGGCAAUCCUGAUUUACGCAGCAAAAGGUCCUUGACUCCUGAGGUGGAUUCUGAAUUACAACUUGUAGAAAAAUGCAUUCAACAGUCUCAGGUUACCAGAGUGAAUCCACAUUUACCUUUUGAAAUACUAAUUGUUCCUACUUAACAUUCACCAACAAGACUCAUUAUUCAGGGACAUAAUUUAAUUGAAUGGUGUUUUCUUCCACACAGCUCUUUACAGACACUAACUAUUUACCUAGAUCAAAUUUCUAUCUUAAUUGGUCAGGCUCUUUCUCGUCUACUUCGUCUUUUGGGCACAGAGCCCCAAAAAAUCAUUGUUCCCCCCACCCAAUUACAACUUCAACAGGAUUUUGCUACUUGCAUCGCUUGGCAAGUACAUUUGGCAGGUUUCCCGGGUAUAGUUGAUAAUCAUUAUCCUAAUGUAAAAUUAUUUCAGUUCCUUAAACUCACUUCUUGGACUUUACCUAACAUUACUAGAAACACCCCAUUAGCUGAAGCUGUCACUGUUUUUAAUGAUGCUUCCUGUAAUGGCCGAGCAGCAUAUACAGGGCCAAGAGAAUGUGUUCUUAGCACAGGAGCUAUUUCAGCACAACGAGCUGAGCUGCUUGCUGUUAUGGCUGUCCUUGAAGAUUUCCCUAAACCAGUUAACAUUGUCUCUGACUCAGCGUAUGUAGUACAUGUUGCUUGCAACAUUGAAACUGCCUUGAUCAAAUUUCUGCCUGAUGAUAACCUAUUCUUUCUUUUUCAAAGGUUUCAGUCUGUGAUCAGAGCAAGGUCUUCUUUCUACAUUACUCACCCUCGGGCCCACAGACCCCUCCCCCGACCCCUCUCGGCAGCAAAUGCCUGAGCUGAUACUCCCGUUUUUACAGAUGCAGAAAAUUUUCAUGCCUUAACUCAUGUCAAUGCUGUGGGACUCCGAAAAAAGUUCCCCCUCACAUGGAAACACGCUAAAACCAUUGUACGUCACCGUCCUACUUGUCAAGUGUUAAUUUUACAGCCACUUUCCUCAGGAGUUAACCCUACAGGACUUUCACAGAAUCCUCUCUGGCAAAUGGACGUGACUCAUUAUCCUGCUUUUGGCAAGCUCUCUUUUAUACAUGUAACUAUUGACACCUUUUCUUAUUUUAUCUGGGCUAUUUGUCAAACGGGAAAGUACAGCUCAUGUUAAACGACAUUUGCUUUCAUGUUUCUCGGUUAUGGGCUGUCCUGAGAAAUUGAAAACUGAUAAUGGCCCCGGCUACAAUAGUGCUGCUUUUAAAAAGUUCACUCAAACAUGGGCAAUUACUCACACAACUGGCAUCCCCUAUAACUCUCAAGGACAGGCCUUGGUGGAACGAGCCAAUAAAACAAUCAAAAAUCAACUUCGAAAACAGGACACUAAAACAAAGAGGGAUGCUGCUACUCCUCAUGCUCAAUUAAAUCUGGCUCCUUUUUCCCUAAAUUUCUUAAACAUAGCAAGAAGUCAACCUUUUACCGUGGGAGAACAACAUUUCACUGGAAGUAAAUUUGAUCCACAAAAAGGAAUGCAGGUGUGGUGAAAAGAUUCAAAAACUAACAAUGGGACUUAGGCACAGUCGUAACAUGGGGUAGGGGUUUUGCUUGUGUUUCCCCAGGAAAAGGACUACAGCCCAUGUGGGUCCCCUCCCAACAAUUAAAAUUGCACCAUAACUCCAAAGAUGAAACGCUCCCAGAAACAAAAGGCAAAGACCCCUCGGAAACCAAAGAGCAACUUUUGCCGCCUGACACAUAAACUUCAUGACCUCGACAUUGAGACAAGAUCUCGCCAUGUGACCUACAACACCUCUGGUUCAACUCCUCCAACAUGGGGUCAAAUAAAGGUUUUGUCUCAUCAAACAGAAAAUUUAUUAAAAGAAAAAGGAAUCCCAGAAACGACAGGUAAUAUAAUUCUGGCUGCCUUUAUGGUAGUCAGUGGAGCCGUAAGUAUACCACCGGUUAGGGCAACUCAAAAUUAUACUUACUGGACAUAGGUUCCUUUUACCCCUGUAAUUCUGUCUGUCUCCUGGAUGAACUCCCCAGUAGAAGUUUACACUAAUAAUAGUGCAUUCAUGCCGGUCCCUAAUGAUGAUAGGUUUCCAGCUCAACCGGAAGAAGAAGGUAUGCGCUUUAAUCUGUCAAUUGGCGAUAAAUAUCCAUCACUAUGCAUUGGGAUGUCUUCUGGCCGUUUAGCUUAUUCUUACCAGAAUUGGAUUUGAACCGUACCGUCCUUUACAAAUGAUUCUUAUCGAGUACAUAAUGUGUUCAGUACCAAUUCGUUUCAACUUCUCACUGUCAAACUUAAUCCACAUGAGGAAUGGAGAAUUCCUGUCAGUACUAAAAUUAAUAAAAGGACUGCCAGACUGACCAAAGAAACCUACAAAGGUACCUUUUAUAGUGACUUCAAUUUUAUGGAAUGAUUGUGAUGCUCCCAAGGCCGUUGUGCUCCAAAGUCUACCCACGGGUAUUGUUAUUGAUUGGGCUCCAAAAUGGCAUUAUUGGCAAGAUUGCUCCGGCAAAAAUACCUCAUGCUCGGAGUUUAAUUAUUUGUUAGAUUAUAUAGAUGAUGGAUGGCAGUCAUACAGGUUGAGACAAUGAGUGUCUCCUUACCCAUUUAAAUGGAUGGACGCAGGCAUUGCUCUUCCUAGACCAAAAAUGAUUCAUCCCGUUGUUACCCCAGAAUAUCCUGAAUUAUGGAAAUCAGCUGCAGCUAUGACAGGAAUAAGGAUAUGGAACACUACGUAUCAACUCCUUCACACUAAUACCAAAACACCCACAUUCAACAUCACCUUGAUAUCUGAACAGAUGAUACCCAUCUGGAGCUGUGUCAAACCCCCUUACAUGCUGUUGGUUGGAAAUAUAAUUAUCAUUCCCAAUACACAAACUACAGAAUGUGAUAAGUGUAAGCUGUUUACGUGCGUUGAUGCUACUUUUAAUCCCACAACAAGUAUUCUCUUCGUAAGGACUAGGGAGGGGUUAUGGAUACCAGUUUCUUUACAUCGUCCUUGGGAGUCUUCCCCCUCCAUACACAUAGUCAAUGAAGUUCUUAAAAGUAUCCUCAAAAGAACAAAGAUUUAUUUUUGCUCUUAUUGCAGUCUUUGCAGUUCUAAUUGCAGUUACUGCAACAGUGGCAACCGCUGGAGUUGCCAUCCACUAUUCUGUUCAAACUGCUCAAUAUGUUGCAGCAUGGCAGAAAAACUCCUCCAGACUCUGGAAUUCUCAGACUCAAGUUGAUCAAAAAUUAGCUAAUCAAAUUAAGGAUCUUCACAAGAGUGUAAUCUGGCUGGGAGAUAGAGUUAUGAAUGUGGAACAUUAUAUGCAAUUACAGUGUGAUUGGAAUACUUCUGAUUAUUGCAUAAUACCUUAUGCUUGUAAUAAAGAUCAGCAUAGCUGGGAAAAGGUCUCAAGACACUUAAAAGCUUGGGAUGAUAACUUAACCUUGGAUAUUUCAAAACUUAAAGAUCAAAUUUUCCAGGCUUCACAAGCUCAUUUAUCCACUGUUCCUGGCUCAGACAUUUUUGAAGGAAUAACUAAAGAACUAUCUGAUCUUAAUCCCUUUAAAUGGAUCAAACCCCUCGGAGGAUCAUGAUUGUCACUGACGUUAUUAAUAUUGGUAUGCUUAUGUUAUCUCCUUUUAGUCUGCAGAUGCCUCCAAGGAGUCCGAAAACAAGUCCGAAGUCAAUGACGAGCAAUGAUGGCGAUGGAGAUCCUAGUUAAUAAAAAGGGGGGAGAUGUGGGUGGCAAGUCACCCAGGUGCCAAGGCAAGAGACCGAGGGCACGAGCUGUUCCAGGAUAAUACAAUAUAUAAAAUAAGAAUAGCUAUACUAGAUAUAGAUCAUAGAUAUGAUUAUAUAUGAAUAUUAUUAAUCAUUAGUUUGUAGCAAUUACUCUUCAUUUCAAUAUAAUAAUCCUCGCUUUACAAUCAUAACCUAGGAAAAACCAGGCCAUACAGAGAUAAGAGCUGAGGGGACAUAGUGAGAAGCUACCAGAAGACAAGAGUGCGAGUCUUCUCUUAUGCCCAGGCAGGGCCACCAGCGGGGCUCCUUGGUCUAAUGGUAAUGCUAGCAUCUGGGAAGACGCCCGUUGCCAAGCGGACCAUGGUCUAGCGGUAGCAUCACUGUCAAGGAAAAACACCCGCUACUUAGCCAACCAGGAAAGAGAGUCUCCCUUUCCCUGGGGGAGUUUAGAGAAGACUCUACUCCUCCACCUCUCGUGGAGGGCCUGACAUCGGUCAGGCAUGCCUGCAGUUAAUCUGGAGGCCUAACCGUCUCCCUGUGAUGCUGUGCUUCAGUGGUCACACUCGUAGUCUGCCUUCAUGUUCCAUCCUGUUCACCUGGCUCUGCCUUUUAGAUAACAGUAGCAAAAUUAGUGAAAGUACUAAAAGUCUCUGAUAUGCAGAAAUAAUGGCGUAAGCUGUCUCCUCUCUCUCGGCCUCGGCUGCCAGGCAGGGAAGAGCCCCCUGUCCAAUGGACAUGUAAGCCACAUGACCUUACCUAUCAUUGGAGAUGGCUCACACUCCUUAUUCUGCCCCUUUGUCUUGUAUCCAAUAAAUAUCAGUGCAGCCUGGCAUUUGGGGCCACUACUGGUCUCCGCGUCUUGGUAGUAGUUGUCCCCCAGGCCCAGCUGUCUUUUCUUUUA